rnacentral:lncRNA from 1 species
UGGGGAUUUGCCAUCAGGUUUCAUUGCGAAUUCGGCUUCUUAAGAGGAUUCUCUCGAUUUUGAUUGGAACCAAGAAAUGGUGAAGAGAUAGACAAUUUUGUGAUAAAUGGAUCUGGAGAAAAAAUGGUUAUAAAGAAAUUCAGAGGGAAAAGGUGAACGGAAGCUAUAAAUGGAGGCUUGAUUACACAGAGAUGAAUCGUGUAUCGUUUGAUCGACAAUCCAUUAGAGAAUUGGAAACGACGAAGAACAACACACAAAAGGAUCUAGAGUUUC